rnacentral:misc_RNA from 1 species
ACCGAAGGAGACUGAUUGUGCCCGGAAGUGUCGUGUAGUUGUGUUAGAAGCGAAGCUGAGUGGUCAUUUUAAGCUGGAGGUAAACGGGAGAGAAGACUUGUAGUCGGAGGAAAAAGAAGCUUUCCAAACAACAUGCUGCCUUCAGAUUUUCCAUAUGUUACUGGAUCUGAACACUGGAAGAGAAAAGUUCGUAAUUUGUAUAAACGGUAUGACUCAAACGCUGAUGGAUACGUAACUGAAGAAGAUUUUAUAGCCCUUGGGAAGCGCAUUGCGGAAAUUAGGAACCUUGAUGGUGAAAAGGCAAAUCACGUUAUAGACAAAUGCCUUCAUCGCUGGGAAGGAAUUGCUGGAAACAAAAACAAACUCACUGAGGAUGAAUACCUGCAGAGCAUCCAUUCACUCACCAUCCAAAGCCGCUCUAGACCAGAGUUGUACCAUGGCUUCGUUUCCGGGGACUUUAAGAUGAUGGACAUUGAUGACGACGGCAUUGUCUCUAAGGAUGAGCAUGUUGCCUUUUUCUACGGCUUAAAGGUCCCAAAGCAAUUUUCAAAUGAAAUGUUUGCUAUAAUGGACACAGACAAAAAUGGUCUCAUCACAUUUGAAGAGUUUGCAGAAGGUUUUCUUGAGUUCUGGCUUACCGAAGAUCCAAACAACAAAUACAAUAAUUUUUAUGGUCCACUUGUUGAUUAAGUAAUGCCAUUAACAAACAAUAUUGAACGUAGAUGGAAGUUAAGUUUUGGUAUUACCACGGUCAGUUUUACCUAAUUGCUCUUUCAUGUUUCAGUUUCUUUAUUAUUAAGAAUCAUUUGAACACAAAAUAUAUCCAUGGCGCAUGGAUUCAUUUUCGAGCGCGUCUUAUUGGCCGUUCAUCAAGGCAGUUAAACUCCCAAGCCGAGCGUGUGGACCAGUAUUUUUCAUGCAACUAUUCCAACUGUUAGAAUAAUUAGAUGGAAUGAAAUGUACGAUUUGUUUUGGAAUUGUUUGAGUAAUAAGUCUCAAUAAACGAAACUGUAACAAAUAGACUCAUUAAUUUGUAAUGGCGUUGUUUAAAAGAAACAGACAAGUCCACAAGUACGAGCAUAUGUGUAAAUUUUAUGUAUUAUACCUGUAUAUUAUAUACUUGCUUUAAUAUCUAAACACUUGACCAUAUAAUGCACAUCUGUUUAACAAAGUUUUUGAAAUAUACAUCGUUAUGUUAAUUUAAGCACAGUGGCUUGCUCUCAUUAAGCAGUAAAUUAGUGUUAGCGCUUUUCUGGUCCGUUUUGUCUCGGCUGCACAUUACAAAAAUUAUGAUGAAAUGACCACGUUUGUUUCUUUUUAAUUACUUUUUAAAAAUCCUAAAAAGAUAAUAAUAAGAUAUUAAGCUCAAAGAGACCCCAACAUAGGCUAAAAUAAUAACUAAAAUAUUAGAUCUAAAAAAACAUAGACUUAAUAGUGACCUAACAGUAUGAGUUCACAGAGAACUCACAGUGGUCGACCUAAUAGUAUGAGUUCACAGAGAACUCACAGUGACAUGACAGUAGGCUUAUGAGUUCACAGAGAUCUCACAGUGACCUAAUAGUAUGAACUCACAGAGACUUCCCAGUGACCUAAUAGUAUGGGUUCACAGAAAACUCACAGUGACCUAAUAGCAUGAGUAUCAGCUCACAGACCUCACAGUGACCUAACAGUAUGAGUUCACAGAGAACUAGCUACUAGCUUACAAGGUGUAGUGGCUAGAAUUCUAUAUCCCGUGUUUAAGGGAAAGUAAUUACCACAUGUAGUCUCACAUACUGCAUUCGGUGCAAUUGCUAUGUAUUUGGCUGAGAAAAUGAUCUUUAGAAGAAAGAGAUUCGUAAGUUGGGAGAGAUGCACACGUUCAGAUUCACGGGGGACGCAACACUCGCACGUAUGAAGAGAAAGUAGGAAAAAAGACAAAUAAGUACAUGUCAGCAGACAAAGGUUACGGUAUUUUGUCAUGUUUCACAAGUCGAGGCUAGACAAGUCUAAACGUAUCUUAUUGUAGUGGAUCAAUAAAGGCUCAAACAGACAACCUGCGUUUGUUAAGAUAUUGGACGCUACACAAGGUUUUCCAGAGGCCUCACGGUGUCAGCGUAUCUCUGCUGUAUGGUGGCACUGCAGGCCACUGAUGGCACAUAUACUUGUAGGCUUCCCUAAGGGCAACACAGG